CCCGUAACGAGCGCAACCCUUGUCCUUAGUUACCAGCACGUAAUGGUGGGCACUCUAAGGAGACUGCCGGUGACAAACCGGAGGAAGGUGGGGAUGACGUCAAGUCAUCAUGGCCCUUACGGCCUGGGCUACACACGUGCUACAAUGGUCGGUACAGAGGGUUGCCAAGCCGCGAGGUGGAGCUAAUCCCACAAAACCGAUCGUAGUCCGGAUCGCAGUCUGCAACUCGACUGCGUGAAGUCGGAAUCGCUAGUAAUCGCGAAUCAGAAUGUCGCGGUGAAUACGUU
rnacentral:rRNA from 1 species